GAUCAUGGCUCAGGAUGAACGCUAGCUACAGGCUUAACACAUGCAAGUCGAGGGGCAGCAUGUGGUGCUUGCAACCGAUGAUGGCGACCGGCGCACGGUGAGUAACGCGUAUCCAACCUUCCCUAUAGUAGAGGAUAGCCCGGCGAAAGUCGGAUUAAUACUCUAUGUUGUUCAAUGCAGACAUCUAAGUUGAAUCAAAGGUUCACCGCUAUAGGAUGGGGGAUGCGUCUGAUUAGGUAGUCGGCGGGGUAACGGCCCACCGAGCCAUCGAUCAGUAGGGGUUCUGAGAGGAAGGUCCCCCACAUUGGAACUGAGACACGGUCCAAACUCCUACGGGAGGCAGCAGUGAGGAAUAUUGGUCAAUGGGCGAGAGCCUGAACCAGCCAAGUAAGCGUGCAGGAUGACGGCCCUAUGGGUUGUAAACUGCUUUUAUACAGGGAUAAAGUCGGGGACGUGUCCCCGUUUGUAGGUACUGUAUGAAUAAGGACCGGCUAAUUCCGUGCCAGCAGCCGC
rnacentral:rRNA from 1 species